AGAGUUUGAUCCUGGCUCAGAUUGAACGCUGGCGGCGUGCUUARCACAUGCAAGUCGAACGAGAAAGGGACUUCGGUCCUGAGUAGAGUGGCGCACGGGUGAGUAACGCGUAGGUAAUCUACCUCUGCAUCUGGGAUAACACUUCGAAAGGGGUGCUAAUACCGGAUACACUUAUGGGUCGCAAGACCUAUAAGGAAAGGAGACCUCUCCUUGGAAGUUUCUGUGUAGAGAUGAGCCUGCGUMCCAUUAGCUAGUUGGYAGGGUAARRGCCUACCAAGGCGACGAUGGKUAGCKGGUCUGAGAGGAUGAUCMGCCACACUGGAACUGARACACGGWCCRGACUCCUACGGGAGGCAGCAGUGGGGAAUUUUGCGCAAUGGGGGAAACCCUGACGCAGCAACGCCGCGUGAGUGAUGAAGGCCCUUGGGUCGUAAAGCUCUGACAGAGGGAAAGAAGUGUAGAGUGGCUAAUAUCCACAUUACUUGACGGUACCCUCAAAGGAAGCACCGGCUAACUCCGUGCCAGCAGCCGCGGUAAUACGGGGGGUGCAAGCGUUGUUCGGAUUUAUUGGGCGUAAAGCGCGUGUAGGCGGUUUUAUAAGUCUGAUGUGAAAGCCCUGGGCUCAACCCGGGAAGUGCAUUGGAUACUGUAAGACUUGAAUACGGGAGAGGGCAGUGGAAUUCCUAGUGUAGGAGUGRAAUCCGUAGAUAUUAGGAGGAACACCGGUGGCGAAGGCGGCUGCCUGGACCGAUAUUGACGCUGAGACGCGAAAGCGUGGGUAGCAAACAGGAUUAGAUACCCUGGUAGUCC
rnacentral:rRNA from 1 species